UACAGAGGGUGCAAGCGUUAAUCGGAAUUACUGGGCGUAAAGCGCGCGUAGGUGGUUCGUUAAGUUGGAUGUGAAAUCCCCGGGCUCAACCUGGGAACUGCAUUCAAAACUGUCGAGCUAGAGUAUGGUAGAGGGUGGUGGAAAUUUCCUGUGUAGCGGUGAAAUCGUAGAUAUAGGAAGGAACACCAGUGGCGAAGGCGACCACCUGGACUG
rnacentral:rRNA from 1 species